GGAGGAUGCAAGCGUUAUCCGGAUUCAUUGGGUUUAAAGGGUGCGCAGGCGGGGGCAAUAAGUCAGUGGUGAAAUCCUGCGGCUUAACCGUAGAACUGCCAUUGAUACUGUUGCCCUUGAGUAUAGUUGAGGUGGGCGGAAUAUGUAAUGUAGCGGUGAAAUGCAUAGAUAUUACAUAGAACACCAAUUGCGAAGGCAGCUCACUAAGCUAUCACUGACGCUGAGGCACGAAAGCGUGGGGAGCGAACAGGAUUAGAUACCCUGGUAGUCCACGCCGUAAACGAUGAUCACUCGUUGUUGGCAAUACAUCGUCAGCGACUGAGCGAAAGCAUUAAGUGAUCCACCUGGGGAGUACGAUCGCAAAGAUUG
rnacentral:rRNA from 1 species